GGCAUGUCUAUAAAUUGUAAACUUUGGUGUUGGAGCAGGAUUUCUUUCAAGAAGAAAUGCAUCCACAUGUUUUUUUACUAAACUCCACACAUUUCCUUAAUUGGAAAGUACUCCAGAUUGCUUCUACAAAAGACACUCUGACGCUCAAGUCAAUAUUUGUGCAGCGAUCUCUUAGUACUUGAUUGAAUUUCUCGUACCUUUGGUUGAGGCUCAGUUGGGCUUUUAUAGGGCUCCAAGGCUCCACCCCUUU
rnacentral:lncRNA from 1 species